UUCUUCUCUCUACACAAUUUUUCUUCUUCCUUUUUUUUCCAAACCACCAAUCUGUACUGUGAUUUCAACUCCUUCACAACCCAGCCUCAGCACCGAUCUCUCUCUACUAAUCCAGAUCAACAAAAAAUUUGGAACCCAAGAACAUUUGGGAAGAGCCAGAAAAAAAAAUGGAGCUCAAAGCCUCAAACGCUGUUUGUGAUCUCUGUUGGUUGGUGGAUGUGCAAGAGAAGAGAUAGACGGUUGCAGUUGUCCUUAUUUGCUGGCGUUCUUUCUACGGAGUAGGAUUGGUUUUUCAUAGAUGAAUCAUUGUAAUCUGUAAUCUUCAGUAGAAUGCCUUUUUGGUUGUUGGAGGUAAAGAGAUUAGAGGCUCUAUCUCUAAACUGAAGGGGCCCUGUGGUUUACCCCAAGCCUCGGUGAGUUGUGGUUUUGGCUAACAGUCCAUUGAGGUCCUUGAGAUGGCACAAGUCAUCAAGCAGAAGUUUGUGAUUCCAAGGCUGCAGCAGAGCAAGGGCUGUUGCUUUGGUUAAACCAAUCUAGGAGCCGAAACAGGUAGCAAAUAGGUUGAUGUAAGAAGCAUAUCAAAGAUUUUGUGCAGGAUCAAGGAGAUUCCUCUCACAGUAGAUGUGGAAGCACCCUUCCUUGGCUUGAUACUAAGGUUUGGUUUUCUACAAGAGUGGAAGAUGAAGUGCAAUAAAAUCAAGUGGCACAAUGAUAGAAUAUCUUAGUGUUGUGCUAGAUAUAAACAAACUCAUUAGAAUUUGAACGUGUAUUACAUACUAUCACCUUGUAGCAUAGAGCUAUAUCUGAAAGCUUAGUUUCUAUAUUGAUUGAAUUUAGCUAGAAAACAUGCUUUGUUUGAUUUUGUAAAGAACCAUUGGCUAUGAUUACAAGGUAGACAUAGUGCUUGGUACUUUGGU